rnacentral:rRNA from 1 species
GACGAACGCUGGCGGCGUGCCUAAUACAUGCAAGUCGAGCGAAUGAAUGGGAGCUUGCUCCUGUUCGUUAGCGGCGGACGGGUGAGUAACACGUGGGCAACCUGCCUGUAAGACUGGGAUAACUUCGGGAAACCGGAGCUAAUACCGGAUAGUUUCUUUCUUCACAUGAAGAGAGAUGGAAAGACGGUUUACGCUGUCACUUACAGAUGGGCCCGCGGCGCAUUAGCUAGUUGGUGAGGUAACGGCUCACCAAGGCGACGAUGCGUAGCCGACCUGAGAGGGUGAUCGGCCACACUGGGACUGAGACACGGCCCAGACUCCUACGGGAGGCAGCAGUAGGGAAUCUUCCGCAAUGGACGAAAGUCUGACGGAGCAACGCCGCGUGAGUGAAGAAGGUUUUCGGAUCGUAAAACUCUGUUGUCAGGGGAGAACAAGUACCAGAGUAACUGCUGGUACCUUGACGGUACCUGACCAGAAAGCCACGGCUAACUACGUGCCAGCCGCCGCCGUAACAC